rnacentral:rRNA from 1 species
CCUACGGGUGGCAGCAGUGGGGAAUAUUGGACAAUGGGCGAAAGCCUGAUCCAGCCAUGCCGCGUGUGUGAAGAAGGCCUUCGGGUUGUAAAGCACUUUCAGUGGGGAAGAAAGCCUUGGGGCUAAUACCCUCGAGGAAGGACAUCACCCACAGAAGAAGCACCGGCUAACUCCGUGCCAGCAGCCGCGGUAAUACGGAGGGUGCGAGCGUUAAUCGGAAUUACUGGGCGUAAAGCGCGCGUAGGCGGUCUGAUAAGCCGGUUGUGAAAGCCCCGGGCUCAACCUGGGAACGGCAUCCGGAACUGUCAGGCUAGAGUGUGUGAGAGGAAGGUAGAAUUCCCGGUGUAGCGGUGAAAUGCGUAGAGAUCGGGAGGAAUACCAGUGGCGAAGGCGGCCUUCUGGACUGACACUGACGCUGAGGUGCGAAAGCGUGGGUAGCAAACAGGAUUAGAUACCCGGGUAGUC